CCUACGGGGGGCAGCAGUGAGGAAUAUUGGUCAAUGGGCGCUAGCCUGAACCAGCCAAGUAGCGUGAAGGAUGACUGACCUAUGGGUUGUAAACUUCUUUUAUAUGGGAAUAAAGUGCAGUAUGUAUACUGCUUUGCAUGUACCUUAUGAAUAAGGAUCGGCUAACUACGUGCUAGCAGCCGGGGUAAUACGGAGGAUCCGAGCGUUAGCCGGAUUUAGUGGGUUUAAAGGGUGCGUAGGCGGGUUGUUAAGUCAGUUGUGAAAGUUUGCGGCUCAACCGUAAGAUUGCAGUUGAUACUGGCAGCCUUGAGUGCAGUAGAGGUAGGCGGAAUUCGUGGUGUAGCGGUGAAAUGCUUAGAUAUCACGAAGAACUCCGAUUGCGAAGGCAGCCUGCUGGACUGUAACUGACGCUGAUGCUCGAAAGUGUGGGUAUCAAACAGGAUUAGAUACCCUGGUAGUC
rnacentral:rRNA from 1 species